rnacentral:lncRNA from 1 species
UCUUCUUGCUCUGGGUUUAACGGGCCACACUGGAGAGCAGGCAUGGGGCCUUGUGCCCCUGAGCAGGGCCAGGUGUGGGACCAGAGCCUUCGUCGUGCCCAAGGCCUGCAGGCCUCAGAAACCCCAGCCCCACACCAUGCCGGUGCUCCCAGCUUUCCCUGAAUGUCAUUCGUCAUGAGGGCUGAGGUUCAAGGACCCACUUACUCUGGUGGCCACUUACUCUAGAGGCCUGAGUACGCCAGGCUGUGAAGCUCUGCCAAGUACCUGGGAAUCUAUAUCCAUGCGGGGCACCAUCUCAAACUGCAUGAGUCAGGUGCUACUUUACUCUGUGUUCAACACGUGUUCGUGGACGUGCUCCAGGCCCAAGGCGAAGGAAUAGGAUGUAGCAGGGGCAGGGUCUCCGCCCCAUACUCAGAGUCCUUGGGCUCCGGGAAGACACAACCGAUAAGUGGUUACGGGGAUGCCUGGGAGCUACGGGCACACACAGACCCUCCUGGGCCCAGCAUAAGGGCCAGGGAAGACUUCCUGGAGUCCAAGUGGAAGCUGCAGGUUCUGUUCCCAGGCUGCUGUUGGGCAGUGAACAAACGGCACUGGAUUCAGAGUCGGACAAACCUGGGUUCAAGUCCAAUCUGCCUCUCAAGCUGUGUAGCCUUUAGCAAGUCACUUCUUCCCCUUGGGCCUCAGUUUCCUCAUUUGCCAUCUCACCCUUCACAGCACUGAUGUUUGGAUUAAUGCGAUGAGGCAGGUGAAAGCACUGUAAAUGCCACCCAGGCACGGAGCUUUCAUGGGACAGUUGAAACGCAGGUGAAAUGAAAGUCAGUGUCCUGUUGUCCUCCGACUUUACAUUAUUAAAGAGAAUUGGGCUGGAUGCAGUGGCUCACAGCUAUAAUCCUAGCACUUUGGGAGGCCGAGGUGGGCAGAUCACUUGAG